rnacentral:rRNA from 1 species
UACGGAGGGAGCUAGCGUUGUUCGGAAUUACUGGGCGUAAAGCGCACGUAGGCGGAUUUGUAAGUUAGGGGUGAAAUCCCGGGGCUCAACCUCGGAACUGCCUUUGAUACUGCAAAUCUCGAGUCCGGAAGAGGUGAGUGGAAUUCCUAGUGUAGAGGUGAAAUUCGUAGAUAUUAGGAAGAACACCAGUGGCGAAGGCGGCUCACUGGUCCGGUACUGACGCUGAGGUGCGAAAGCGUGGGGAGCAAACAGG